AAUUUUGCAAUUAAAGAAGACAACCAAAAAACCCUAAGGGCUGAACAUUUUUUUCAUCUCCUGCACCCUAGGCAGCCGCCCCCCCUCCCCUGGAUUUUCUUCUCUGCUCCCUCAACUGCACAGCCGGCUCCCUCUUUUCCUUUCCUUUCCCCCUGCCCAGCACCAGCUCCCACAGCACCGUUUCCCUCCAGCUUCUUCACCCAAAACCAUCCUUCCAUCUCCAGUUUUCUGCUCACACAAGACAGCCCCUCACCUCCUCUCUCUUACUCCGAUCUUCACUCAUCAACUG
rnacentral:lncRNA from 1 species